rnacentral:rRNA from 1 species
UACGAAGGGUGCAAACGUUGCUCGGAAUUAUUGGGCGUAAAGCGCACGUAGGCGGCUUGGCAAGUCGGAUGUGAAAUCCCUCGGCUCAACCAAGGAAGUGCAUCCGAAACUGCCGAGCUUGAGUACUUAAGAGGAUCGCGGAAUUCCCGGUGUAGAGGUGAAAUUCGUAGAUAUCGGGAGGAACACCGGUGGCGAAGGCGGCGACCUGGGUCGAGACUGACGGCUGAGGCGCGAAAGCGUGGGGAGCAAACAGG